rnacentral:rRNA from 1 species
GAUGAACGCUGGCGGCGUGCCUAAUACAUGCAAGUCGAGCGAACAGACGCGGAGCUUGCUCCUCUGACGUUAGCGGCGGACGGGUGAGUAACACGUGGAUCACCUACCUAUAAGACUGGGAUAACUUCGGGAAACCGGAGCUAAUACCGGAUAAUAUAUUGAUCCGCAUGGUUCAAUAGCGAAAGACGGUUUUGCUGUCACUUAUAGAUGGAUCCUCGCCGCAUUAGCUAGUUGGUAAGGUAACGGCUUACCAAGGCCACGAUGCGUAGCCGACCUGAGAGGGUGAUCGGGCACACUGGAACUGAGAGGCGGUACAGACUCCGACGGGAGGCAGAAGUAGGGAAGCUUCGGAAAAGGGGGAAAGACUGACGGAGCAACGCCGGGCGAGUGAUGAAGGGCUGCGGGUCGUAAAACUCUGUUAUGAGGGAAGAACAAAUGUGGAAGGGACUAUGCACGUCGUGACGGUACCUGAUGAGGAAGCCACGGCUAACUACGUG